rnacentral:lncRNA from 1 species
UUCUGUAUGGAGCUCCUGCUCUACAAAUAACACGCAAUACAAUGGUGCUCCUGCUCUACAAAUAACUCUACAAGUGGAGUAACUAAUUUACAAGCUCUACAAGCACUAUAUUCUUCAGGAUGGAGCUCCUUCGUUAGCAUUACAAACAGGCACAUGCACCUGCUCCUGCUCAUAGUCAGGACGCCCUGUUACAUGAAUCAGCAAAGAAGAAUCAGAAAAUUGGAGCAAAUAUAUUAUGAAGAGACCAUUUAAUAAAAAAGACAAGUUCUUCAGAAUGAUAACACAAAUUCAACUAGUACAAUGCUUUUAGAAGUCACAAAAAAUAACGAUUACUACAUGCCAGAUGAUCAUGAAGAGUAUAAACACAUCUUAAAUCUUACUUGUAAAAACAGAAUACAUUAGUGCAGGGGAGUUCAGGCAGAAAACAUACUGCCACAGUGUGCCCCUGGUUAGCCCGAAUCAGCAGCUCACCAUACUCCUCCAACAGACUGAACCUCUACUUGUUGUCUCGCCUGACCGCCUACACGUGAGAAGGCAAAAAAACAUUUACUUGAAGCAUCUUACAAUUCACAACAAAUUCGAGACUGACCCAAUUAAUUUUACAGCAUAUAGAGAUUUUACAAUCAAAGUUCAUGGUGCUAGGAUGCUAGCUAUCAAGAUGAAAACAAAUGUAGCAGAUACAUUGUACAAACAAGAAUUUUUUUACAACAUCGCAUUAACACUGCGUGUGCAAUGAUUUGGCUAACAAGUGUAAACAACAAGGAACACAUACUGUAGCACAACUAAGAACAGCACGGUCCAUCACAAUAAUGUAACCAGUCAAGGGCUGCUCUAAGCAAGCAUAGUUGCACAUGCAAAGUCAACUGUCUAGUUAAAUGCUCUACAGGUCUUCUAAAUUGCUCGACAGAUAAAAAUAGCGCAAAAUACUUCAUGAAAGCACAAAAUCAUUACAUUGUACUAGUACUGAAACAGAAACAAGAACAAAUCAAGCUUCGGCUCCCACGCAGAUUGGGAAUACAGCAAUACAGUAUCAAAAAUAAACUACCAGAAUACAUAGAAAUUCCAUGCAGAUGAGUAUUUCCAUAAUACAGUUUCUUUUUUUGAAGAGUUGCAUAUCACAAUAAAAAUAGAUACAAUGUUUAAUUGCCCGAGGACAGAACAGGUAAAGAAGACAGAACAUACAAGGCAUGCAUACAUUAUUAACUAAAAGAGAGGAUCGAACAAUAAGGAUGAGUUAACCCAUAUCGAUAAAUAAUAUCUAUAGAUGAUUCCAUACAAUGUAGAACUGUUGUACUUGGCAAUGCACACUAGGUACUGAUGACUGGUUAUAUUGGUUCAUUGUCAUCAAAUUAAAAAAGAACUACCCUGAUCAAGCAUACAUAAGCAUAAAAAAGGUCAAACAAGCUCAUUGUGCAUUUUCUUUUUAAAUGUGAUACACAAUAAGCAUAAGUAACCACUAGGAAAAUAACUUGCUAUCUACAUGCCCUAUUAUCAGCAACAAGAACAUUAGGUAAGGAAUAACAGAAUAUUUCCAAUGCAAUCUGUCUCCAUCCCCAGCACUGCGGCAACAGUCUCCAGCAUCAUUGCGCGGUAGCCAUACCUCCUCUGCAACCCAAUUUGAAGGGUCAGCUUCAGAACAUGAUAAACUUCCAAGUACAAUACAGGAAACCAAGAUGAUAAACUGGUGCAAAAAUCAUGAUAAACAGGUACCCCUCUCUGUCUGAACCGUUUUCUUGCACAUAUG